UACGUAGGGGGCAAGCGUUGUCCGGAUUUAUUGGGCGUAAAGAGCUCGUAGGCGGUUCCGUAAGUCGUGAAGUCAAAUCUCUGGGCUCAACCCAGAAUCGCUUCCGAUACUGCGGUGACUGGAGUCCGGUAGGGGGAGUGUGGAAUUCCUGGUGUAGCGGUGAAAUGCGCAGAUAUCAGGAGGAAUACCGAUGGCGAAGGCAGGUCUCUGGGCUAUAACUGACGCUCAUGCACGAAAGCGUGGGGAGCAAACAGG
rnacentral:rRNA from 1 species